rnacentral:lncRNA from 1 species
AUACUUCCUUGAGACCCUCAUCUUUUCCCAAUUCAUUCUGCAAUCUUCACGCCUCACUCUCUCUCCCUUCUCAAUUCCUCCUAACUCUCAUCACUGCAAGGAUAUACUUCCUUCUGAAACACAAGAGGCUUUAGCAUCAUUUUCCAACUAUGAAAAUGUAUUUUAUCCCAUAUCUGAAAUGUCGUAAUUGCUUCUGUUGAUCCUAGACUCAAUAAUUUGUAAUUUAUUUUAAGAUUUAUGUAUAAGAUUUGCUAGUGUGAUAAGAAAUUUAAAGUCGGUGAAAAAAAAAUGCAGAGCACAAAAAUAACAGGAUUAAUGGUAUGCGGAUUCUUUCAGGAUCCUUUAUGAUAUGUCGACAACAGUGGUCAAGAAGGGGACCAAUUGCUGAACAAGAUAUUGGCGGCAGUGGUCAAGAAGUGGGAGCUGUUGCUGAACCGGAAAUCAAAUUCACCACCGCAACAGUAUGCUUCCAUGUCUUUCAAUGCUUCUUUAUAGCACCAUCUAUUUUAUUAAUUCUAGCUUUCGCGGCCAUCACGUCCCCUAUAGAUUACCUUUGUACCACAGUUCAAUAUGUGAUUUGUGAUAUAAUUAUGGUGGAGAUCAUUUGUCGAUUUAAGUAAAAAAUCACCCCAAAGAUUGUCAAGUUCUUAGGAAUAAGAUGCAUCAGGGAAGCAAUAGAGAUAUUUUUAUAGGCUCUGGGUCUUUAUUUACAAAAAUAUUAUAGAUCCCGAAUGCAUAAUUUGUGUUUUUACCCUAGUAUGUUGUUCCUACUACCUGAUUUCCUAUGUCUUAUUUUUGAGACAUAGUGGAGCCCUAAGUUUUCUGGAUUUUGCCCUAGGGAUAUAUGCUGUAAUUCCAGUGCGUUUUAUAAAAUUGAUGGACGGUGGAAAAAAUCUUUAAGGUUAUGAAUAUGCAUUAUUCGUUCUUUCAAUUACAACUUGCAUUUCUCUAUUUUUAUUUAAAAGUCAUUAGGAGAAUGUAAUUGAAGGGAUUGUGAAUCCACAAAACUUUGUUUUUCUUUUCAUUUUUAGGUGUAUCAUAAUGUUUUUAUUUUUAAUAUGUACCAUUUUAAUUCGCAACCCUAAUAAUGAGAAAAUAUAUGAUACACCUAAAAAUGAAAAAAGGUCUAUGGAUUCUCAAUCCCUUCAAUUACAGUCUCCUGAUCACUUUUAAAUAAAAGUAGAGACAUGCAAGUUGUAAUUGAAAGCCCGAAUAAUGUAUAUUCAUAAUCUUUCAGAUUUUUUCCACUGUCCGUUAAUUUUAUAAAAUGCAUUAGAAUUACAGCAUUUAUCCCUAGGGCAAAAUCCAGAAAACUUAGGGCUCUACUAUGUCUAAAUAAUAAGACAAAGGAAAUCAGGUAGUAGGAACAACAUACUAGGGUAAAAAAACGCACAUUAUGCAUUCGAGAUCUAUAAUAAUAUGUAAAUAAAUACCUAGAGCCCAUAAAAAUAUCUCUGUUGCUUCCUUGAUGCAUCCUAUUCCUAAGAACAUGACUAUUUUUUGGGAUGAUUUUUGACCUAAAUCAAUGAAUGAUUGCCACCAUAAUUAUAUUAGAGAUGGAGCUGUGUAUGAAGGUAUUCUAUGGGGGACGUGAUGGUUGCGGUAACUGUAAUUAGUAAAAUAGACAAUGCUAUAAAGAAGCAUUGAAAAACACUUAAACCCUAAACCAUACUGUUGUUGUGGUGAAUUUGAUUUUCGGUUCAACUCUUAUGAUAUCUUUAUGAUUUAAAUAAUAAGAUUCAACUAGGAGUUAAGUCGGAAUGGAUUUCUAAUUUUCGACAAUAAAUUUUUUGAAUCUGUUCACAAAUAUUUUGAAUCUGAAUGUUUUUUCAAAAGUUAAAAUGAAAGUCAGAAUGGCAUUUUGCAAUUCUAAUAACUAGGAAUUUCUGAUAUAAAUUUUUUCAAAGUAUGCACCCAACUUAUUCGGAUACCAAAAUGGUUUGAUUUCUGAUAGUUGUCUACUCAAUUAUAAAAAUGAAAAGUUAAUUCUCGUUUGUCAAAAGCCUAGCUCUAGCCUAGAUUUUUUAACUCAGUCACUUAUAUACAUUUUACGCAAAAUGUUACUGUUUUUGUUCAUGUGCUCGUGCGCAUUACAAGUUCGAUUUUCGCAAUUGUACAUGUGCACGUUUUAUUAUUAUAUCGUAAUUGUAAGACCAAUCAUGCAAGUUGAAAUAACAUAUUUGGAUAUGCUCUAAAUUCACUUAACUUAUGGAAAGAGAAAUUUGAACUCGAACAUUCCAGAUUCCUUUGCAUAAACAAAUAUCAUAAGACCAGCCAUGAAAGUCGAAACAACAUAUUUUCGUAGGCAAUAUUAACACACUAGAAAACGUAUGAUAAAUAUUGAGCGAAGUAGGUUUGAAUUACUAAAUGUGAGUUUAUUCAUAAAUUUUAGUUUUGUUGUUAAUUCCAACUUUUACUUGAUGAUAAUUAUGAAAUAAUUACAAACAAAAAAAAACAAAAAAAAAAAAAAACAAAUCCACAUUUAAAGUUGGUUUUAAGUCAUAUGAAGUUAUUUGAGCUCAAAUAAAAUUUCUCUUCUUAAAAUCUAGGGAGUUUUGUUAAAACACUGAAAAUCGUAAGAGGGGUAUAUAUUAAACAACAUUAAAUUAAUUUAAUGAUUAAAAUUUUAAUCAGUCUUACCUCUCUAACCGAACACCAACAUAUCUACUAUUCUUGCAAACCAAGCUCCAGCUUCUCCCUCACAUUUGGCCGGCACCUUGCUCUCCCACAAUACAAACCAAAACAACGAAGCAGCCACCUAUUGCUAGACCAAAAUUGUUGGAGCAUGCUUGGUGUUGUUAUUGAAAGCAAUUCCUGAAAAAAUAGAGAAAAAGAAAACAAAAAAAACAUGGCGUAUAAGGCGGCAUUGAACCGGGAGCCGAGAAUGUCGUCUUUGUCCUCUCCGGGCCAUGACCUGUUUUGUACCCCUUUGGAUAAACAAAAAAUGAAAAUAGAAAAACAAAAAAACGUGUAGCCAACCUCUCCUCCCACCUCCUCUUCACACCUCAAUUGGAAAUUUGGAUUUCAAUUCAACUUUGUUUAAGUAUAUAUGGUAUAAUUGUCUCCUUAAAUACAUUGUUAAAUUCAAUCUCCAAUUACGAUUUUGACAGUUCUCCUAUUACAAUUUUAUCCAUCAUAACACACAUGAUAAUUUGGAGAGAUUUUUGAAAAUCUAUCAGGAACAAUGUUUGGUACAACAAAAUGUAAUAACUCAAUUAGUUGGAAACUUAAAAACAGUAACAUUAUCCAUCAAGGUUGCACUAUUUAUACAAAAUUGCAAUUGUAUAUGAAUAUAUACAUGAUCCUCAAAACAGCAAAUAAUGACUUCAUCUCUCAAUUAUUUACACAAAAUUGCAAUUGCAUAUGAAUAUAUAUAUAUAUAUAUGCACAUAUAUAUGUGUUUGUGUGUGUUUGUGUGUAUAUAUAUAUCAAUGCAUAAUACAUAACAUUACUACAGGUACGCAAAUUUAAAUUGCCAUGAUCGAUGUCGCUAUUGUGAGAUCUCAAACCAAUUAUUUAUUAUCGUGAAGAAAAAUUAAACAACAAAAUAAUAUGUAAUUAAUUCAAAAUACUAUUAUAACUAAUGACAUCUUAACGUUUAAUAUGCAAGUAAGUCUCUCUUCGCUCGGUAUAAAUAAUGGCGAAU